rnacentral:rRNA from 1 species
UACGUAGGGUGCAAGCGUUGUCCGGAAUUAUUGGGCGUAAAGAGCUCGUAGGCGGCUUGGUAAGUCGGAUGUGAAACCUCCAGGCUCAACCUGGAGUCGCCAUCCGAUACUGCCAUAGCUAGAGUCCGGUAGGGGCCCACGGAACUCCUGGUGUAGCGGUGAAAUGCGCAGAUAUCAGGAAGAACACCGGUGGCGAAGGCGGUGGGCUGGGCCGGCACUGACGCUGAGGAGCGAAAGCGUGGGGAGCGAACAGG